AAAGACUGUUUUUGUUGUUUUGACUGAUGUUUCGACAACCUCAGCGGUAGUUAUCUUCGGAGUC